ensembl:lncRNA novel transcript
GCCUCCCAGGCUGGAAUGUGGUGUUACCAUCACGAUUCACUGUAGCCUCAACCUCCUAAGGCUCAAGUGCUCCUCUUGCCUCAGACUCCCGAGUAGCUGGGACCACAGGUGCACACCACUAUGCCCAGCUAAUUUUUGUAGAAAUGGGGUCUUUCCAUGUUGCUCAGGCUGGUCUUGAACUCCUUGUGGCUCAAAUGAUCCGCCCAUCUCUGCCUCCCAAAGUACUGGAAUUACAGCCUUUAUUUCUUUUAGAUUUUCAAUUUACUGCCCCUAAGUUGCAAAAUGUUCUCUUAGAAUUAUUUUUAUCUUUGCAUUCUGUAUCCAUUCUGUAUGCAUAUCUAUAUAUUCUGUAUAUUCCUCCUUUCUAAUAUUGUGUAUUUUCACUUUCUCUCUUUCCUUUUUAACCAGGCUUGCCUGAGGCAUCUAUUUUAUCUUUCCAAAGAACCAGUGGUUCUUUUUGAGACAGGGUCUGGCUCUGUCUAUUGUCCAGCCUGGGCAACAGAGCGAGACUGUCUCAAAAAUAAAUAAAUAAAUAAAUAAAUACACAUUUUAUUAGUUUAUUUUGGUUUAUAUGUAAUGAAUAUAUAUAGUAUGUUUAUUAAAUCUGCACCCUACUUUCUCUUUUCCCUUCUUAAGUAAAUGUGCUUUUUUUGUCUUUUGUUUUUAAAUCAGAAAAAGAGUAAGUACUAUUGAAUGUUCCUCUGUAGCUUGUCCAAUAGAUUUUUAUAAGAAAUGUUUCUUUUCACUGUGUUCUAUGUAUUUUUGUAAUUUUAGUGUUGAUUUCCAUUUUUUGGCUGAAGGUAUUCAGAAUUUUUGUUUGUUUGUUUUUUGUUUUUGAGACGGAGUUUCACUCUUGUUGCCAAGGCUGGAGUGAAGUGGUGCAAUCUCGGCUCACUGCAACCUCUGCCUCCCAGAUUCAAGCAAUUCUCCUGCCUCAGCCUCCCUAGUAGCUGGGAUUACAGGUGUGCACCACCAUGCCCAGUGAAUUUUUGUAUUUUUAGUAGAGGUGGGGUUUCACCACCUUGGCCAGGCUGGUCUCGAAUUCCUGACCUCAGGUGAUCCCCAUGCCUCGACCUCCCAAAGUGCUGGGAUUACAGGCGUGAGCCACCGCACCCAGCCUAGAAUUUUUUUAACCCUUUAUACACACACACACACACACACACACACACACUUUUCAAAAUCAAAUAUACCAAGAGUCUUUUAUUGAAAAGGAGCAGCCCUCUUCUGUACCUCUCUUAUUUCCCAGAGGGAACUCUUUAACUCUUUUAGCUGUUUCUGAUAGUAACUUCCAUUUUCCUAAACAAUUUUAAACUGCCUUAUCUCGAGUUAUCUAUAUUAGACAUGUUGUUGAUUUCCUGUUAUAUGAUAGAUGAAAUUUCAUCUCUCAUACCACUUUCCUACCUGCUCCUUUCAUCUUCCCAAUCUGGUUAUAUUGAUAUUUUAAGCUAAAUGCAUAAUCAGCAUUUACUUUACCGUGAUACUAAAUGUUUACAAAAGCAUGAAGUACUAUAUUCUUGGUACAUUUUCUUUCUUGUAUUGCAUUUUAUUUUUCCUACAGUUAAUACCUUCCUUAUAUUUUCAUACGUUUAAUUUUCAGUGUUCAUUUAUCAAGGUUUUUUUCCUGCCUAAAUCUGUAUCAGAUGAUCCUUUAGUCUUUAAAAAUCUCCCAUUUUUUCUCUCCCAAAGUCCUUCAUUCCCUUGCUUCAGUCUGGAUUUUACUCUGUGGGCCUGAGCACAGCCAUGAUGCCAUGACUUUCCUUCUCUAAUCUCCUGGUUAGGUUUCAUUGUUUGCCGAAUCACAUUUCUUCCUCUUUUUUGGUUUCCUUUCUUAUUUUACUGGAACACAUCCUCCAAUGGCUUCCUAAGAAAUGGUGCCUUGGAGAGCGACAUUUUUUGAGGUCCUUGUGUGAAUGACAAUGUCUUUUUUUGUUUGAAUCAUCAUACUCAAUUGAUAGCUGGGUUUAGACUUUAUUUUCACACACGGACUUCAUUGUCUUCUAAUCUCUAGGGUUGUUAUUGAGGAAAAUAUGCCAUUCUGAUUCUUGUUCCUUAAUAUGUUAUUUCUUGUAAU